rnacentral:lncRNA from 1 species
AUGGUGACAGUGACUCGAAGCGUCCCCGUGGCUGGGAGGGCACUGCUGCCGGGGCGGGACGGACAGGCUGCCCCUCUUUUGCAGGUGCCGUGCCCCGCCUGGCCGCGGCUGAGCAGCCGUCUUCGGCACCAGCUGAGAGCUAGAAGGCGACACGGCGGUGGAAGGAGGCCGCCGCGGAGCGCUAGCCCAGGGCAGGGCCGCGCUCAGGCUGCCGCGCCGGGCAGCCGGCCUGCGACCGCGGCAAAGCCGAGGCUGCCACCGGCCGCGACGGGGACGCCGGCGUCCGAGACCCCCCCCCCCCCCCCCCCCCACGAAGGGCCCACGCCGGAGCUCGGCAGUCAGCGAAACCCAGGCUGCUCCGUGCGUGUGCACAAAGCGCUCGGUAAACAGAGCCCCAGAGCCGACAACGUCGCAAGAAACCAGGCUCUGAGAAGGGCUGGACCGUCCCUGUCCCAGCRCAUCUCCUCCGCCRCCGCUGCCGCAGCGCAGCCCUGCCCAGGCGCUCGGCCUUUAAAUUAUUCCCACAGGGGCCAACGGAAARUAAUAAAAGAAUUGUUUCUUUUCCUGAUGGAAUUUAUUUUAAUCUGUAUAUAACUUGUAAUUUUUUGCUAAUUCUUUUCUUAUUUUAUUUCUUCCUUAACAGUAUUUUUUGCAUUAGAUAUCAUGAUUGUGAAGAAAUAAUGUUAAUAUAAGUAUGUAGUGAAGGACCAAACUUGUGUAAUUAAGGUUGUAUGUUGUAUGAUUGAUAGCCAGGGAGUAGGAAGAUUUUGUUCAUGUGCCAAAUGACCCCGAAUAACCCUGCUGUUCUUGCUGCCGCUUUUCCAGACAAUCAUGUUUUGUUACAUUUGCGCUCAGAGGACAGUCGCAGUCGGACGAAGGACUCCAUUUAUUUCCCGCGGCGGUGGGGAAAGAGGAGAGGUCUGGGCCAGAGGCAGCCAGGCCCCCGGGCGCCCUCGCGCAGCAGGACGGGGCAGCGCGCGGGGGAGAGGCGCACGGCCCAGCCGCGGGUAGCCGAGCCGGCCCGGGCACGGGCCGGGAGCUUGGAUAGCCUUCUGGCUUGGGGCUGCAGUGCUCUGUWUCUAUAUUUUUUAAAUCAUGGGGUUUUGUAUUUCUUAAUACAGUUUGUUUACUUCUUGUUUUCAUCCAGCUAGCAGCUGUUUUCAGAUCCCAGCUCCUCUAAUUUAGCUAUGGUUACACGUUUUAAUUUUUCCAGUUAAGAUGAAUAAACAGAAAGUCUGAUUGAAUUUCUAUUUAUCU